ensembl:snRNA U6 U6 spliceosomal RNA
GUGCUUGCUUUGGCAGCACGUAUACUAUAAUUGGAAUGAUACACAGAUAAUUAGCAUGCCCCCUGCACAACCAUGACGCACAAAUUUGUGGAGUACAGCAUAUUUUG